UGUUGACAAUUUGUAUCGUAAAAAAAGGAUCGUGCAUCACAUGUUGCUCUAUGCCGUGUGUGUCUAGCAAUUUUGCUGGCGGAUGAUGUAUGAUAGCGAUGAGAGUGUGACAGAUCAUAUUUGUUUAACCCAAAAUCAGAAAGGAAAAAAAAACAGAGAGGGAGAGAAGAGCCCAGCAAAAAGGAUAUACAACGAAUGCAUAUUUGGCUGCGGCGAGGAGGGCCUUUCCGGAGCAGCACUGCAGCAGAGUCUUUCCAGGAGGGCUACUUGGGAGAGGGAGGGAGGGAGAGGAGAGGAGAGGAGAGAGAAAGGGGACUGGAUUGACGCGAAGACGGAGAGCAAGAAUCAAAAUGUUUUUGGAGAUUGAGUGAUGCGAUCUGAUAGUGAAAAUGCUUCUGCGAGAAAUGGAUGGUGAUCCAUUCCAUCCCAUGCCCAGCUAUGAUUUCCUGUCUGGGAACGGUUAUUCAUUAAAGCAGUUAGUGCGCAGCAACUCUGAUAUAGACUCUUCAUCAUCCAAGUCUAAGCAGUCUUGGCAAGACUUAUCUGACAGCAGCCUCAGUGGACAACACACACCAACGCAAUCUGGUAAAACAUUUCCGUAAGCGUUAUUACAACUUUUAUGAACCUAUUUGUGAUUUUUUAUAACAUAUUUGAGAUUUGAUCCUAGGUUUGCAGAUUGUUACAGAUAUGGCUGUUGUGGUAUAAUUAUACAAUGUACAUAUAAAAUAUUAAAACUUGUCCUCAAACUAGAUUGAAUUCAAGUUCUGACUACUCUCAGUAGUGUCCUAAUUGUAAACUUAACUAAGUAAUGAUCACAGGUUGUGUUGCAGUCCUGGCCAUUCUUCUAAGACUUUGCAGUCUUGGCCAUUCUCACUGCGACAUUGACAUAGUAAUAUAGUAUUCCUCAUUGAAACUAGUUUUAUACUAUCAAAUAUGUAUAAUGUUAUUUGUAAAUGGCAAUUGGUUACUGCAAUUGUCUUUUUCCUCUCCAAUGUAUUGAGUUUUUUUAUCAGAAUCUUCUACUUGCUGUUAAACCAUCCUACAUGCUGUAUUGAAAUGCCAUAUCUUUUUCAACUUAUUUGUGGAAUUGUUGUACUUGUAUCUAUAUGUUCCUAGAGUUUUGGUUCCGCACUCCACCUUGGUUAGAAACUUCAUGGCUAUCAUAGAUAUUAAUUUGAUUAUAUAUUUGUACUUGAAAUGAUAGGUUAUGGUAUGAUUUGGUAAACCAAAGUGACAAUAGUUUCAAAGUACAGUAUGUUCUUAGUCCACUCUAGCUUGAAUGCCCUGGAAUUGUAUUUGGCUGUGUUGCUACCUUGUUCCUCUCCCUUAUCUUGAUCCAAGAUCAGGUGCGAGCUUAAUGGCACUCAACAAUGCACUAAAGCUGAUUGUAUUAUGUGUACAAUGCACCAAAGACCAGACUAGAGGACCUGUCAUGCAUGCUGAUCAAAUUACUGUAGUCUAGCUUCUGCUAUUCUAAAGAAGAAAUUUUAGGGAAUGAAGAAAACCCGAUGGAUAUAUCCUAGACUACCCAUAUCUAGCUAUGCCUAAUAUACUCUUGAUACAUCUAAACAGGCCACAAAAUGUCUCGACAUAUUCUUAUAGGCUACACGAGAGAAUGCUUUUGUUGCAGAGUAAGAAGAUAAGUAUAAUUUAGCUAUAAGGGUAGAUAAGGAGAUUGUCUGUUAUGCUUGCUUAAAAGAUUAAGGCCUAUCAACUUGUGUAGAUAUGCUAAAUCUACUAAGCAAACGAAUAUGCACUCCUUGUUUCAGUUAUGAAAAAUCAUUUAUUAAUUUGUAUCACUACAGAUGGAUAGCAAGACUGUCCUUGUAGCUCCUACUCCUUUGAUCACUGUAUAACAGCUACCCACUAUUUUUCCAGGGUUGUGCUUCUUAUAGUGCUGAUCCAUAUUAUGGCGGGGUGUGGGCAGGAUACGCUUCAAAUGGAAUUGUCCAUCCCCAAAUUAGUGGUGCAGCAAACACUAGGGUACCAUUGCCAGUUGGGCCUGCAGCAGAGGAACCCAUAUUUGUCAAUGCAAAGCAAUACAAUGCUAUCCUCCGGAGGAGGCAAAAACGCGCAAAACUGGAGGCCCAAAAUAAACUGGUGAAAGGUCGGAAGCCAUAUCUCCAUGAAUCUCGGCAUCGUCAUGCAAUGAAGCGAGUCCGUGGACCAGGGGGCGUUUCCUCAACAAAAAGGAGCUCCAGGAGCAGCAGCUGAAGGCACUGCCUUCACUUCAGACUCCAACAGGUGGGGUCAGCAAAAUGGCCUUUGGCAGGAACCUAUGCCCUGAAAGCAGCACAUCUCACUCGCCUUCGACGAGCUCUACAAUCUCGAGUGCUUCAAACUGGAGUGGCACGCUAGCUCAUCAAGAGCACGUUAGCUUCGCAUCUGCUAAUAAAUUCCUCCCCAGCAUGAACUUCCACGCGGAGAAUGGAGGUGAAAAGAUGGCCAUCAAUGGCGUCCGCCACCACACCCCUGUCCUGAGGUGAACAACCUCAACUGUGGGGGUGCUGUGCUGGUACCAUCACUGGCGCGCUCCGGUGUGCCCGUGGCAAUUCAUCCUUGGCUUAUGAUGUAUCUUAUAGUAAUUUGCUUUCACUUUCAUAUGGAACUUGUCUCAGAUUAAACUCGGUGAUAUUUAUUGCAACUGGAUGACUGAAAUAAUCUCAUGUUUCUUACAAGUGU